ACGCACGCUGGCGGCGUGCUUAACACAUGCAAGUCGAACGGUAAGGCCCCUUCGGGGGUACACGAGUGGCGAACGGGUGAGUAACACGUGAGCAACCUGCCCUUGACUCUGGAAUAACAGUUGGAAACAGCUGCUAAUACUGGAUAUUCAUCGUCUCCUUCCUGGGGGGUGGUGGAAAGCUCCGGCGGUCAGGGAUGGGCUCGCGGCCUAUCAGCUUGUUGGUGAGGUAAUGGCUCACCAAGGCUUCGACGGGUAGCCGGCCUGAGAGGGCGACCGGCCACACUGGGACUGAGAUACGGCCCAGACUCCUACGGGAGGCAGCAGUGGGGAAUAUUGCACAAUGGGCGCAAGCCUGAUGCAGCAACGCCGCGUGCGGGAUGACGGCCUUCGGGUUGUAAACCGCUUUCAGUAGGGACGAAGGGUGACUGACGGUACCUACAGAAGAAGGACCGGCUAACUACGUG
rnacentral:rRNA from 1 species